GCGCAAGCCUGAUGCAGCGACGCCGCGUGAGGGAUGACGGCCUUCGGGUUGUAAACCUCUGUUAGCAUCGAAGAAGCGAAAGUGACGGUAGGUGCAGAGAAAGCGCCGGCUAACUACGUGCCAGCAGCCGCGGUAAUACGUAGGGCGCGAGCGUUGUCCGGAAUUAUUGGGCGUAAAGAGCUUGUAGGCGGUUGGUCGCGUCUGCUGUGAAAGGCUGGGGCUUAACCCUGGUUUUGCAGUGGGUACGGGCUAACUAGAGUGCAGUAGGGGAGACUGGAAUUCCUGGUGUAGCGGUGGAAUGCGCAGAUAUCAGGAGGAACACCGAUGGCGAAGGCAGGUCUCUGGGCUGUAACUGACGCUGAGAAGCGAAAGCAUGGGGAGCGAACAGGAUUAGAUACCCUGGUAGUCCAUGCCGUAAACGUUGGGCACUAGGUGUGGGGGACAUUCCACGUUUUCCGCGCCGUAGCUAACGCAUUAAGUGCCCCGCCUGGGGAGUACGGCCGCAAGGCUAAAACUCAAAGAAAUUGACGGGGGCCCGCACAAGCGGCGGAGCAUGCGGAUUAAUUCGAUGCAACGCGAAGAACCU
rnacentral:rRNA from 1 species